rnacentral:rRNA from 1 species
ACGGGUAGCCGGCCUGAGAGGGCGACCGGCCACAUUGGGACUGAGAUACGGCCCAGACUCCUACGGGAGGCAGCAGUGGGGAAUAUUGCACAAUGGGCGCAAGCCUGAUGCAGCGACGCCGCGUGCGGGAUGACGGCCUUCGGGUUGUAAACCGCUUUUGAUCGGGAGCAAGCCUUCGGGUGAGUGUACCUUUCGAAUAAGCACCGGCUAACUACGUGCCAGCAGCCGCGGUAAUACGUAGGGUGCAAGCGUUAUCCGGAAUUAUUGGGCGUAAAGGGCUCGUAGGCGGUUCGUCGCGUCCGGUGUGAAAGUCCAUCGCUUAACGGUGGAUCUGCGCCGGGUACGGGCGGGCUGGAGUGCGGUAGGGGAGACUGGAAUUCCCGGUGUAACGGUGGAAUGUGUAGAUAUCGGGAAGAACACCAAUGGCGAAGGCAGGUCUCUGGGCCGUUACUGACGCUGAGGAGCGAAAGCGUGGGGAGCGAACAGGAUUAGAUACCCUGGUAGUCCACGCCGUAAACGGUGGAUGCUGGAUGUGGGGCCCGUUCCACGGGUUCCGUGUCGGAGCUAACGCGUUAAGCAUCCCGCCUGGGGAGUACGGCCGCAAGGCUAAAACUCAAAGAAAUUGACGGGGGCCCGCACAAGCGGCGGAGCAUGCGGAUUAAUUCGAUGCAACGCGAAGAACCUUACCUGGGCUUGACAUGUUCCCGACCGCUCCAGAGAUGGGGCUUCCCUUCGGGGCGGGUUCACAGGUGGUGCAUGGUCGUCGUCAGCUCGUGUCGUGAGAUGUUGGGUUAAGUCCCGCAACGAGCGCAACCCUCGCCCUGUGUUGCCAGCGCGUCAUGGCGGGGAACUCACGGGGGGACCGGCCGGGGUCAACUCCGAAGGAAAGGUGGGGAAUGACGUCCAAAUC